rnacentral:rRNA from 1 species
AUUGAACGCUGGCGGCAGGCCUAACACAUGCAAGUCGAGCGGAUGAAGGGAGCUUGCUCCUGGAUUCAGCGGCGGACGGGUGAGUAAUGCCUAGGAAUCUGCCUGGUAGUGGGGGAUAACGUCCGGAAACGGGCGCUAAUACCGCAUACGUCCUGAGGGAGAAAGUGGGGGAUCUCCGGACCUCACGCUAUCAGAUGAGCCUAGGUCGGAUUAGCUAGUUGGUGGGGUAAAGGCCUACCAAGCCGACGAUCUGUAGCUGGUCUGAGAGGACGACCAGCCACACUGGGACUGAGACACGGCCCAGACUCCUACGGGAGGCAGCAGUGGGGAAUUUUUGGACAAUGGGGGCAACCCUGAUCCAGCCAUGCCGCGUGCGG